AAUACAUGCAAGUCGAACGGUAACAUUGGAGCUUGCUCCAGAUGACGAGUGGCGCACGGGUGCGUAACGCGUAUGCAACCUACCUAUUACAGGAGGAUAGCCCUAAGAAAUUGGGAUUAAUACUCCAUAAUGCAAAGAAUUCGCAUGGGAUUUUGCUAAAGGCUUCGGUUGGUAAUAGAUGGGCAUGCGUAUCAUUAGCUAGAUGGUAAGGUAACGGCUUACCAUGGCAACGAUGAUUAGGGGAACUGAGAGGUUUAUCCCCCACACUGGCACUGAGAUACGGGCCAGACUCCUACGGGAGGCAGCAGUAGGGAAUAUUGGGCAAUGGAGGCAACUCUGACCCAGCCAUGCCGCGUGCAGGAAGAAUGCUUUCGGGUUGUAAACUGCUUUUAUAUAGGAAGAGCUAGCCUUGCGAGGUGAAUAGACGGUACUAUAUGAAUAAGCACCGGCUAACUCCGUG
rnacentral:rRNA from 1 species